CGGCGGCUGCAGGGUGCGCCGUGGCGGUGGGUAGAGGCGUCGAGUGUGCCAGCCCGCCACAGGCCGACGGGUGGAAGCCGGCGUGGUGACCCCCGUAAAUCUCGCUCACCAGUCUCUUCAUCUCCUCCAGCGAGUUGGUGAGCAUCAGGAUGUAGUUUCGCGCCAGCAGCAGCGUGGCGAUCUUGGAGAGCUUGCGCACCGACGGGCCGUGCGCGUACGGCAUGACCUCCCUCAGGCCGUCCAUGGCGAUGUUGAGGUCGUGCAUGCGCUUGCGCUCGCGGCUGUUGAUCUUCAGGCGCAGCUGCUGCAGCUCGGGCUCAGUCAUCUGCUUCUUAUCUUUCUUGGUGGAAGACGUGGCCGCCGACGACGUGGACGAGGAGGUGCUGGAGGAAGAUGACUUGAAGCCACCGCCGCCCAGUUUGUCCCCGGGAUGCGCGCCCGCC
rnacentral:lncRNA from 1 species